rnacentral:lncRNA from 1 species
AAUCCCAGGACUUUGGGAGGCACAGGCAGGCAGAUCACCUGAGUUUGAGAGUUCAAGACCAGCCUGACCAACAUGGAGAAACCCCAUCUCUACUAAAAAUACAAAAUUAGCUGGGCGUAGUGGCACAUGGCUGUAAUCCUAGCUACUCGGGAGGCUGAGGCAGGAGAAUCGCUUGAACCCGGGAGGCGGAGGUUGCAGUGAGCUGUGAUCACACCACUGCACUCCAGCCUGGGCAGCAAGAGCGAAACUCCGUCUCAAAAAAAAAAAAAAUACUCUACGUCAAAUAAUGUUCAGCACAAUGAAAGCACCAUCAUUAGCCCUUUAAAUUCACUGUCACAUACACACCUACACAUUCAUAUACUCAAUAAAUAACUUGAUUGUCUACUAUGUGCCAUGCAGUGUACACAGCUGACCCUUGAACAACAUAGGUUUGAACUGUGCAGGUCCACUUACACACAGGUUUUUUGUUUCAACCAAAAGCAGAUCAAAAAUACAGUAUUCUCGGGAUGUGACACCCAAGUAUACAGAGGGCCAGCUUUUCAUAUAAACAGAUUCACAGGGCCCGUGGUAGGACUUGAAUAUGUGCAGAUUGUGGUAUACUCAAGAGUCCCAAAUCUCCUGGUAAACACCAAGGGAUGACUGUAUUAUUAGGUGCUAGGGUCUAGCAUUUAAGAGAACAAAAACUCCGCCUACAUGAAAUGUACAAUCUGGUGACAACAGAUAAAAACUAAAUAAGUAAUAAGUAUGUUAAAUGCUGAUAACUGCUAUAAAGAAAAAAAAAUAAGUAGGCAAAAAAUGAGUGUUGAGAUGUAGGCUGAUAUAGUUUAGCCUUGUGUCCCCACCCAAAAUCUCAUCUUGAAUUGUAAUACUCCCCAAGUAUCAAGGGCAAGACCAGGUGGAGAUAAUUGAAUCAUGUGGGUGGUUUCCCCCAUGCUGUUCUCAUGAUAGUGAGUUCUCACAAGAUCUGAUGGUCUUACAAAAAAGGCCGCAGAGGCUCACGCCUGUAAUCCCAACACUUUGGGAGGCCGAGGCGGGUGGAUCGCCUGAGUUCAGGAGUUCGAGACCAGCCUGACCAAUAUAAACCCCAUCUCUACUAAAAAUACAAAAUUAGCCAGGCGUGGUGGCACAUGCCUGUAAUCCUAGCUACUCGGGAGGCUGAGGCAGGAAAAUCGCUUGAACCCGCGAGGCGGAGGUUGCAGUGAGC